UACGUAGGGGGCAAGCGUUGUCCGGAAUCAUUGGGCGUAAAGAGCGUGUAGGCGGCUUGGUAAGUCCGCUGUGAAAGUCCAGGGCUCAACCCUGGAAAGCCGGUGGAAACUGCCAAGCUCGAGUCCGGAAGAGGCGAGUGGAAUUCCUGGUGUAGCGGUGAAAUGCGCAGAUAUCAGGAGGAACACCAAUGGCGAAGGCAGCUCGCUGGGACGGUACUGACGCUGAGACGCGAAAGCGUGGGGAGCAAACAGG
rnacentral:rRNA from 1 species